UACAGAGGGGGCAAGCGUUAUUCGGAAUUAUUGGGCGUAAAGAGCUCGUAGGCGGUCUGUCGCGUCGGUCGUGAAAACUUGGGGCUUAACCCUGAGCUUGCGGUCGAUACGGGCAUGACUGGAGUUCGGCAGGGGAGACUGGAAUUCCUGGUGUAGCGGUGAAAUGCGCAGAUAUCAGGAGGAACACCGGUGGCGAAGGCGGGUUGCUGGGCCGACACUGACGCUGAUGCGCGAAAGCCAGGGGAGCGAACGGG
rnacentral:rRNA from 1 species